UCCGUCUGCCUCCUCCCUUGCGAUGCCGCGACUAUUCUUCUUUUGAAGCGCCGGCAGGUGGGACCACGUCCCCGCGAUGCCCUCGCCCUCCCUUCCCAUGGCACACGCGCCUCUCCUCUCUCCGCGAUCGCAUGGCUCUCCACGUGCUCGUCCAUGUCGCCGCCGCGCCCUCCCCACACCGCCACCAUUCCACAGAUCGACACCGUGCCCAUGCCAUGGCCGCGCUUUCCCCACGCCUCGCCCCUAUCCUGACUCGGUUUUUUCGUAACCCUACACCACCGCCAGCCGCACUUUGCUUCUCCCCUCCACCCUUUCGCGUUCCAUCAUGAUGUCGCCCUACCACAGCCCUCCACCUUCGUUCGCCGGAGCCCCAGCCCCCAUGGCGCCAGCGCGUGUGUUCAAGGCGCUCCACCUCUCCUUUCACUCGCAUGUUGGCGUCCUUCUUCAUCGGUAGGGUGUCAGUGGUCGACAGCAACUACUCCUUGCCCUCGCGGACGUCCCAAUCUGGUAUCCCAGUGCCUCGAUCUGACGGCCUGGUGCCUAGAUCUAGCAGAAAGGUGCCCUGAUUCGGUGGAGGCCGCCCAGAUCAAGGGUGGUGGCGACUACAUCUUCUCCCGUGACCCCUGUCUGUUUCUGUGGUUGGGGUGCACAAGCCGCGACCGAGCAGGCCUACGCGCCUACACCUUCGCCCGUCCCUGCGGUGGCCAUGCCAGGAGGUUGGGGUGGGCUGGAUCUGCGCCCCCUCCCCUGGUAGGUGCUGAUAGGUCCCCCAAUCUGCUUCUUCUAGAGGAAGCUGUGCCCCAAUCUGCUGCCAUUGGCAGGAGAUCCGGUGAGCAACUCCUCCUCCUCGUGCAAUCCUGGCAUGGUUUGCGGCACAGUGCAAGGCAUAGGCUAGCUCCAGCCUCCGGGCUCCGUCAGGCACCAAGCAGGUGCCACAGUCUGCCAGUCAUGGAGUCACAUGGCAAAGGCAGCAGCGGCCCUCCUCCUCCAGGCUUCUAAUGCUCCAUGCCCAUGCCUGACAGAUGGUCUGCGUUGCUGCACCUGGCCGGCUCCCAAUUGCAGGUUCUCCGAGCCAUGGCCUCUCAACUCCAUGAGUUAUGUAACGGUAUCAAGAUGAGCACAUGAAAAUCUUGGAUGCCCUUAUCUCUUUAUAAGAGAUGAAAGGGAGGCAAGGAUGACUGGAAUCUUUGUGGGGCUUUAUGGAGAUCUGAACAGGUUAGUUCGAGGACAAACACCUUAGUGACCAUGUGUCUAGUCGAGGUAUAAGCUAACGUCUUUUCUGAAUCCUCUUCAAUGAUGCAAUCUUCAUUUGCUUUCAAAAUGAUGGGAUCUCACCUGAAAGAAACUUCCUAGAUUGCCGAUUUCUACUGCAGGAUCAGAGUGGCGCAGUGAUCUACUACAUCUGUGGGCUUGCCUGGUGACUUGUAGGAUCAGAGUGAUGCAGUGAUACUACAUCUGUGGGCUUGCCUGGUGACUUCCCAAAGUAUGUGUAUGUGGGAAGAAGGUGGUUGAAUGGUGAUUUUAGCAAGGUUGCCAAGGAUGGUCAUUUUGCUGGGGUUCAGAGUAUUGCGUCUGAGGUGAUGGAAGUGUUCUCUGAAAUGCCCUCAAGAUGCCGCAUGCUAAACCGUGGCGGUACAUUGCCUGCUGACAAUGGAGGAAGUUGGUGAUGAAGAUUGGCUCAAGAGGGCGCUAUAGAUGCAUGGUCAGGACUCAUGAGGCUGUGGGGGUCCUCAUGUUUACAAAGGCCAAACUGAGCAACAAUGCUUGCAAGGAGCUCAUCGAGGCAGCAUGGGACAUUGCUGACCAAAGUUUAAAUCCUGAAGGUGGAAUCACACUACAAAAAUUCUAAGAAAUCCUAUCUCAAGUAUUUGUUGGCCAUACUUAUGUCCUAUAAGGCUUCCGUCACCUUGUCGAAGCAGGUGAUCCCUACCAGGAUGACCACCAUUCUUUACAGGAAUCACUCUCUUUCAUGGAUAAAGUGAAGACGUCAUCUAAAUCCGAUGAAGAUUAUGAAGAUUUUUUUUGGUCAUCAUAUCUGAGUCAAUGGCAAAAAAGAUCACUGAUCAAGAGACAUACCAAAAGGUAUUUGUCUUUCUUAGUGGUUUGUCGAGAACAAUUAGAUAAUUAUUUUACAACCAUUUGUCUUUGUAAGUAAAGAGAGCUAUCCGCCAGAUGAAAAUCAUAGUGCAAGUCAUAGCUUGGAUGGUAACAAAGAAACAUGUACUUCGUGCAUCUCCGACUUCUUGCAAACAUCUACAAGAGGUGUGUCAGUUUUCCGAGAAGUUUGUUUAUAUGUUUUUUUGAAGGUGGGCGCGAGCUCCACCACAGCCUCGUCCUCUCCUUCCCGGUCGCUGGCAAGCCACAGGAUGAGGAAGGGCGGGCCCUAUAUAUGGAUUCCCCUUCGUUGUUUUCACAUGCAUCGAAAAUGCCAACCAUAGCAAGGGUUAUCUACUAGCAGCAACAUACGGACGACGUGGUAAUAUACUCGAACUUAUGUACAGGAUGAUACCUUUGGCGUAACUUAUUCAUGAAUUUAUUGGUGCACGAAAGAAAUGAAUAUUAGAGAUUUCUUCUUGUUGACAUUUCACGGAAAGGUCUAUCUCUUUGUUAAUUUCACGAACUUUGUUUUUUCGAUUAAAUGUCACUUUAGCGUCGGUAUUUAAUUCACAAUAUUGUUAUUUUAUCGUGUGCGAUCUGUAUGUGUUAAGUAUAAAAUGUUAGUUAUCCCGUAGCAACGCACGGGCAUACUACCUAGUCCACCUAAAAAUCCAAAAAAUUUUAAAAUUCUCCAUUACAUCAAAUCUUUAAAUACAUAUAUAUAAUAUUAAAUAUAGACAAAAAUAAAAACUAAUUGUACAGUUUGGUCGAAAUUAACGAGACGAAUCUUUUGAUCUAGUUAGUCUAUAGUUAGACAAUAAUUACCACAAAUAAACGAAAUUGUUAUAGUGUAAUGAAAUUUUUUUUCUUCAGAAACUAAACGAGGCGAGGGCUCCAGGCAACCUUUGCCUAGCAGGAGCUGCAACAGUGCGACCCCAGCCCAGGCCAUGUUUGAUUUUGCCUUUGCAACAGAGUGCGACCCCCAACAGUUCCUUGCUGGAUUUUUCUCCGACAAUAUAGCACUUUUAUUUAUUUAUGGUAGAAGUAAACAAG